GGACCGGUAGCUCAGGUGGCAGAGUACUGGCAUAUAUAGCCAGGAGACCUUGGUUUGACCCCAGGCUGGGUCA